AUACGUAGGGGGCUAGCGUUGUCCGGAAUUACUGGGCGUAAAGGGCGUGUAGGCGGUUUGUCAAGUCAGGUGUGAAAUCUUAAGGCUCAACCUUAAGACUGCGCCUGAAACUGGCAGGCUUGAGGGCAGGAGAGGAGAGCGGAAUUCCCAGUGUAGCGGUGAAAUGCGUAGAUAUUGGGAGGAACACCAGUGGCGAAGGCGGCUCUCUGGACUGUACCUGACGCUGAGGCGCGAAAGCGUGGGGAGCAAACAGGAUUAGAUACCCUGGUAGUCCACGCUGUAAACGAUGGGUGCUAGGUGUUGGGGGUAUCGAACCCCCCAGUGCCGCAGCAAACGCAAUAAGCACCCCGCCUGGGGAGUACGGCCGCAAGGUUGAA
rnacentral:rRNA from 1 species